rnacentral:rRNA from 1 species
CACGUAGGCACCAAGCGUUGUCCGGAUUUAUUGGGCGUAAAGAGCUCGUAGGCGGUUGAGUAAGUCGGGUGUGAAAACUCUGGGCUUAACCCAGAGCCGCCACUCGAUACUGCUCUGACUUGAGUUCGGUAGGGGAGCAGGGAAUUCCUAGUGUAGCGGUGAAAUGCGCAGAUAUUAGGAGGAACACCGGUGGCGAAGGCGCUGCUCUGGGCCGAUACUGACGCUGAGGAGCGAAAGCGUGGGUAGCAAACAGG